rnacentral:lncRNA from 1 species
ACAUAAGUGUAUUUUAGUCAGGUUAAUUUAGGACGGUUCCGCCACACCCAUUCCUUGGGGAUAGUUCAUGAGUGUGCGGGCAUGGACUUGGAGUGAAAUUCCGAACACGAAGAAUUCAUGAAGGAAGGGUCGUGUUGCUUUGCUCAAGGAUGCCUGUGGUGAAGACUCGGAGAUGAAUACUUGAAGCCCUAGCUACCGUUGUGACUGAGUUUUGUUUGUCAUUUAGCCCAAGGGGCAUAUACAGUAUUCGUAUACCAAGUUGAAUCGGAUGUAAAUAUCAAAUUUUGUACUCUGAUUUCGUUGUAUGGAAAUGAUAUUAUGCUGAAAUGAGUUCUGUACAUGAUAGCUACUAAUCCAGGGACUAUCACAAGGGUACAGGGAGUUGGAUUCUCAGAAAUGAAAAUCCAGUUUGUUUCAAUUAGGUUUACCCUUCACAUGCAAUCUAUGCUUCAUGUUAGGAUUACAUCGUUAAGCUAGAUAGAAAACCCUAGUUAGUUUGCUACCGAUCCACGGAUUGAGAAAUCUUGGAUGAAUACUCUGAGGGAAAAGCUACAACUGAUCCGUGCGCUUGUGGUUCAAACUGGCGUGCUAAUUGCCAUCAACAGUUGUUGGCCCUGGAGGGGGAACUUUACCUCCCCUACCAGUUCCCAAGUUUUAAAGAGCACCAUAGACCAUCAGGGUCCUUCUAAGCCAGCUUCCGCCUUAAUCCAUAUUACUCUCUUAGGGCCUCGGCCCCAUCUUACCACACUUAAGUUAUGAUUUUAAUCAACGGGAGCUUUGACUAUGUGGGCCCGUAACCGUGAGCCUCAGCUAUCCAGAUAGAUUUAUGAGUCUACGCAGAGGUGUACACUUUACCCAUACGUUCGAUCAGCCCAUACCUCAGCUUCAGGCAGUACUGACCUAUGAGACCCAUACCCACCGACAUAUAUCUCUACAUAACAUUCCCUAGCUUCAUCCACAAGUACAGCUAGGGUCUAAACAUGGGCCAUACUACGUCCACAUUUGGACACUAUCUCGGGAAACAUAUGCAUCAUAAUGUGGCAUACAAUGCCACCAGGUUCUCUUGACCUCAAGCUAUGACCUGUGCCGAUCGGACCUGGGACUAUGAGAGAAGGUCUUGCUCUAGUCUACCUGUUGCCCGCCAUGGCCCCUUGGGAUUGUUUACUAGGUUUCGUUGGUGGGGUGUGAAUCGAGGCCUCACAUGAUUAGCACUCCUAAAGGCUGUACCUUUUUAGCAUGUAUGGUUGCACGUUUCACUAGAAAGUAUUUCCCGCGAGCCGGUCCUUAUGUGACCGGAGUAAGCUUUUGGGACAGGACCCUCUACCGAGGCUUCCCCUUUACUCCCAUAUCCUGUCCUUAACAGUUUCUAGCCGUUUAGUUGGUAGAUUUAUUAUAAACUCACAUAUUCUAGGAUUUCCAAAAAAACAUCAUUAUUUGAGGUAUUCCUAAGGAAUUCUAUUUUGAAAUGACACUCGAUCAUCGAUCUAGUCGUGACCGGGAUCAUUAAUAGGAUUUCUAGCUAGAAUCAGCUUCAAGUCAAGGCGAUGGAGGGAAUAGAGGGGCUGUCCCUAUGGUUUUUAGGAAUCAUGCAAGUGCAAUUAUUAUCUUGGUAUAUUUUAUUAUCUAUGUAAACAUAGGAUAAAAAUAUGAUCAAGGUGUGGGUGCUAGGACUUUCCUUCAUUAAUGAUUCCUUAAUUCGUCUUCUAAGUUGACCAGGGUCAUGUCUUUCGGAUCCUUGGUUUCUCGUUGGAGCCUGGGCAAGCUAAAGUUCUAAAUGUCUUCUUGACAGCCGGUCCUUUGGCUUCAACCUUCUGGAUCCUUGAUUUC